UGAACGCUGGCGGCGUGCCUAAUACAUGCAAGUCGAGCGAACAGAUGAGGAGCUUGCUCCUCUGCCGUUAGCGGCGGACGGGUGAGUAACACGUGGAUAACCUACCUAUAAGACUGGGAUAACUUCGGGAAACCGGAGCUAAUACCGGAUAAUAUAUUGAACCGCAUGGUUCAAUAGUGAAAGACGGUUUUGCUGUCACUUAUAGAUGGAUCCGCGCCGCAUUAGCUAGUUGGUAAGGUAACGGCUUACCAAGGCAACGAUGCGUAGCCGACCUGAGAGGGUGAUCGGCCACACUGGAACUGAGACACGGUCCAGACUCCUACGGGAGGCAGCAGUAGGGAAUCUUCCGCAAUGGGCGAAAGCUUGACGGAGCAACGCCGCGUGAGUGAUGAAGGUCUUCGGAUCGUAAAACUCUGUUAUUAGGGAAGAACAAAUGUGUAAGUAACUAUGCACGUCUUGACGGUACCUAAUCAGAAAGCCACGGCUAACUACGUG
rnacentral:rRNA from 1 species